rnacentral:rRNA from 1 species
AGCGUAGACGGUGUGGCAAGUCUGAUGUGAAAGGCAUGGGCUCAACCUGUGGACUGCAUUGGAAACUGUCAUACUUGAGUGCCGGAGGGGUAAGCGGAAUUCCUAGUGUAGCGGUUUUGAAAUGCGUAGAUAUUAGGAGGAACACCAGUGGCGAAGGCGGCUUACUGGACGGUAACUGACGUUGAGGCUCGAAAGCGUGGGAGCAAACA